rnacentral:ncRNA from 1 species
GAGAGCCGGAUGCACGGAAACGUGCAAGUCUCGGUUCGGCGGGGAGGGGUUGGUGUUCCUGAGCAAUCAGGACCCGGCCUCUUACCCGAC